UACGUAGGGGGCUAGCGUUGUCCGGAAUCAUUGGGCGUAAAGAGCGUGUAGGCGGCCCGGUAAGUCCGCUGUGAAAGUCGGGGGCUCAACCCUCGGAUGCCGGUGGAUACUGUCGGGCUCGAGUACGGAAGAGGCGAGUGGAAUUCCUGGUGUAGCGGUGAAAUGCGCAGAUAUCAGGAGGAACACCAAUUGCGAAGGCAGCUCGCUGGGACGUUACUGACGCUGAGACGCGAAAGCGUGGGGAGCGAACAGG
rnacentral:rRNA from 1 species